AUGAUAAAAAUAACAAGCAAAAAAAUAACAUUAUAAUGUAUUCGGUGGAGGCGCAAGGACAUGUCCGUGGGCGUGCGUACAACCUCGGCUGCCAAAAGCGCUCGGAGUUAGCGCGGGAAACAGCUGACUAGCGGGGGAAUCGUAUUCCAAACAUAGCUAAAUACACCAUGUCACCAUACUUGAACUCAUGGAUCCAUACGAGAAUAUUUCAGACAUCGUUUACGUGCAUACGCAGGACGGAAGAUUAACUAGCAUUUUGUUUGGACAUAGUGAUCUACUUAAUGACGAGGUACAUUUGAAAACUUACUAAACCGCAGAAGUGAUUUCUCCGGUUUUUUAACAUUUUGAAACUAGCUAACUGAUGAUGCUAAAAUUAAAUUUAAAGUAUAUAGAUUGCAAUGGUUGCAUAAAUUGCUUUAUUAUUUACGAAACAGAUCAAUAUGUUAAGAGGACACCAUACCCGCAGGUCUUGUCUUCGUCUUACAAGUACGUAUAACAUAACAAAUGUACGCUCAGGAGAUCACGUUUAACUCUGUUAGUUUAAAAAUUAGAGUUAAUC